rnacentral:rRNA from 1 species
CCUACGGGAGGCAGCAGUAGGGAAUAUUGCUCAAUGGGGGAAACCCUGAAGCAGCAACGCCGCGUGGAGGAUGAAGGUUUUCGGAUUGUUAACCCCUUUUGUUAGAGAAGAUAAUGACGGUAUCUAACGAAUAAGCACCGGCUAACUCCGUGCCAGCAGCCGCGGUAAUACGGAGGGUGCAAGCGUUACUCGGAAUCACUGGGCGUAAAGAGCGCGUAGGCGGGAUAGCAAGUCAGAUGUGAAAUCCUAUGGCUUAACCAUAGAACUGCAUUUGAAACUGUUAUUCUAGAGUAUGGGAGAGGUAGGUGGAAUGCUUGGUGUAGGGGUAAAAUCCGUAGAGAUCAAGAGGAAUACUCAUUGCGAAGGCGACCUGCUAGAACAUAACUGACGCUGAUGCGCGAAAGCGUGGGGAGCAAACAGGAUUAGAUACCCCUGUAGUC